rnacentral:tRNA from 6 species
GGGGGCGUAGCUCAGUUGGGAGAGCGCUUGAAUGGCAUUCAAGAGGUCAGGGGUUCGAUUCCCCUCGUCUCCA